UGAAUGCAUAGUGUUUCUUGGUAGCGUAAGCCACUGCCAAUGGCUUCAAAAACAAGUUCAACUUGUUGCAGUCGU
rnacentral:tRNA from 2 species